ensembl:lncRNA
AGGUCACGGAAUUCCACCGGGAAUGGGAAGAUCCUCUGGAGUAGCACGCAAAGUCCUGCUAUCUGCAUUCUGUGGUUGGAGUGAGUUGGGGCUGAAGAACAAGGACGGUGUCAAGAUGGGCAUUUUUUCUGUGCAUAGCGAAUUGGGAGGCAAAGAAAACUGCUGAAAAAAAUUGACGAUGCACCUUAAGUUGAAAAGCUGACUUCCACCUCCUGGGCAACGUGGCUCGGGGUUGUGCUCAGCUAAGACAAAACUGAUGUCAACACCAGGAAUGAAGGACAAAUCUGUGGCUUAAUGAAGCUCCCUCAGAUGCUCCAAAAGAGGUCAUGAUGACGUAUCAAGAAUGCAAGAAAGCAGCCAUCUGGAAACCAAAUGAGAGCGUUCAUCAGAAACCAAACCAGUCAGCACUCCGAUCUUGUGCUUCCAGCCUUCAGAACUGAUCUUGCUGACACCCAGGCUGGAGUGCAGUGGUGCAAUCUUGGCUCACUGAAGCCUCCAACUCCUGCGUUCAAGUGAUUCUCCUGCCUCAGCCUCCUGAGUAGCUGGGACUACAGGCACCCACCACCACACCCACCUAAUUUUUUGCAUUUAUUUGGUAGAGAUGGGGUUUUACCAUGUUGGCCAGGCUGGUCUUGAACUCCUGAUCUCAAGUGAUCCACCCACCUCAGCCUCCCAAAGUGCUAGGAUCACAGGCAUGAGUCACUAGACCUGGCCAACUUAGCAUCCUUCUUAAGCACCAUAAUGCAAUUUGACAUGACUUGAUAAGAGGCAUUGGAUGAAGAAAGUGCUUUGCGGCUAGGGACUCUUUAGAGACUGCAAAUAAUUGCCCCUGUUGAUGUUGGGAAAGAUUUGCAAAAAUAGAUUUUGUGCUUUAUGAUAGAAAUAAGAUAAUCUAAAAGAAUUUAACCACAAAUUGUCUGCUAACUGAUUUGGGGGACAUCAGAACUGAGGAACCAAAUGGAAUAAUGGAUGCUAGCUAAGUUCCAGCAGUGACAUUAAAGACUAAGAAGAAAGGCAACGGGACACUAUAAGUUAAAAGUUUGGCUUGGAAUUUCCUCAUUUAUUUAUCAGCUUAAUGCUGUUUCUAACACUAAACUUUUUCCUGUUGUAAGAUGCAAAACUUUUGCACAAUACUCACUGAAAUCAGGAGGAAAAGUGCUUAUUAUAUCUUGCUAAAAAGGCAGAAUUUAUUCCAGCAGCAGUAGAUACAUGGAGAAAGAUACCUUCAAAGUCGGUUAUAUACAUUUCAAAUGGGGAGUUAAUAUCUGUCUCUUAUUCCUAUCUUAUUUUAACAGAAACGUUUCUUAAGGAUUAAAAUGUUAUUUGAAUACUUUGCUCACUCAUUUAGUGAAUUAUUUUAUCUAGUCUUUGCACUUUGCUACUCGUAUUUUUUACGUCUUUUGACAAACCUAUUUAUACAUAGUAUAUUAGAAAUUAAAGUUUGAUUACUGUUAUAAUUUAUUCAACAUCAGUGCUCUUUCAUGUAUAUUUCAAGUAACUGUGACAAAAAUUAUAUGAGGCAAUCACCCUUUUCACAAUAUGCUCUUUUACAUCUUUUGUUAUCAGUGCUUGUAAAAUUUGUAUUUGUUAUUUGAAUUUAUCAUAUCAGCCAUCAACAUAUUGCUUAAUGAAGCAAGUAUUUUUGUUCAGAGAAAAUGAAUGUCUACCCUUUGAUUAGCUAUUUCUUUAAAAUGUGCUGAUAAAAGCAAAUUAGUUAGCUUUCUAUUGGCUAAUUUGCAUGUUACCAACUUUAAAAGAAAAUUAAACUGUGUACAUAUUUAC